rnacentral:misc_RNA from 1 species
GAUGAAGAACGUAGCGAAAUGCGAUACUUGGUGUGAAUUGCAGAAUCCCGUGAACCAUCGAGUCUUUGAACGCAAGUUGCGCCCGAAGCCAUUAGGCCGAGGGCACGCCUGCCUGGGCGUCACACGUCGUUGCCCCCCAUCUACUCCUUCGGGAUUGCGGGGGGCGGAUGAUGGCCUCCCGUGCGCCUCGUCGCGCGGUUGGCAUAAAUGCCAAGUCCUCGGCGACGCACGCCACGACAAUCGGUGGUUGCGAAACCUCGGUUGCCCGUCGUGUGCGGUCGUCGCGCAUCGAGGGCUCGAAAAAAUUGCCGGGCUCCGGCUCGGCUUUCAACGCAACCCCAGGUCAGGCGGGGUUACCCGCUGAAUUUAAGCAUAUCAAUAAGCGGAGGA